rnacentral:pre_miRNA from 1 species
GGUGCACCAGUGGGGUCCCUCGGCCUGGCCUGUGCCCUCUUGCAAUCUGGGACCCCUCAGGGGAUUUGGACUACCAGCUUUGGCCCGAUCCCUGCAGGCCAGGCCGAGGGACCCCACUGGUGCAUG